rnacentral:rRNA from 1 species
AAUCAACGCUGGCGGCGUGCCUCAGACAUGCAAGUCGAACGUGAAAGUUCCUUCGGGGAUGAGUAAAGUGGCGCACGGGUGAGUAACACGUGGGUAAUUUGCCUUCGGGUGGGGAAUACCAACCGGAAACGGUUGUUAAUACCGCAUGAUGCAGCGGCUCCGAUUGGAGACAGUUGUUAAAGCGGGGGAGCGGAGCAAUCCGUCCUCGCGCCUGAAGAGAAGCCCGCGGCGGAUUAGGAGUUGGUGAGGUAAUGGCUCACCAAGCCUGCGAUCCGUAACCGACCUGAAAGGGUGGUCGGUCACACUGACACUGACAUACGGGUCAGACUCCUACGGGAGGCAGCAGUCGGGAAUUUUGGGCAAUGGGCGCAAGCCUGACCCAGCAACGCCGCGUGAAGGAUGAAGCAUUUCGGGUGUAGUAAACUUCGCAAGAACAGGAAGAAUAAGUGAAUGCAAAUACCGUUCAUGAUGACGGUACUGUUUGUAAGCUCCGGCUAACUCCGUGAC